AAAUGAAUUGACGGGGGCCCGCACAAGCGGUGGAGCAUGUGGUUUAAUUCGAAGCUACGCGAAGAACCUUACCAGGGCUUGACAUCCUCUGCUAGCUCUAGAGAUAGAGUGUUCCCUUCGGGGACAGAGUGACAGGUGGUGCAUGGUUGUCGUCAGCUCGUGUCGUGAGAUGUUGGGUUAAGUCCCGCAACGAGCGCAACCCUUAAGCUUAGUUGCCAGCAUUGAGUUGGGCACUCUAAGUUGACUGCCGGUGACAAACCGGAGGAAGGUGGGGAUGACGUCAAAUCAUCAUGCCCCUUAUGUCCUGGGCAACACACGUGCUACAAUGGCCGGUACAAAGGGUAGCGAAGCGGUGACGCGGAGCCAAUCCCAUAAAGCCGGUCUCAGUUCGGAUCGCAGGCUGCAACCCGCCUGCGUGAAGCCGGAAUCGCUAGUAAUCGCAGAUCAGCAUGCUGCGGUGAAUACGUUCCCGGGCCUUGUACACACCGCCCGU
rnacentral:rRNA from 1 species